rnacentral:rRNA from 1 species
AAAGCUCAAAUUUGAAAUCCCCCCGGGGAGUUGUAAUUUGAAGAUUGCGUCUUGGAGGCGACCGUGUCUAUGUUCCUUGGAACAGGACGUCACAGAGGGUGAGAAUCCCGUGCGGCACGGCCCCCGGCUCCUUAUAAGGCGCUCUCGACGAGUCGAGUUGUUUGGGAAUGCAGCUCAAAGUGGGUGGUAAAUUCCAUCUAAAGCUAAAUACAGGCGAGAGACCGAUAGCGAACAAGUACAGUGAUGGAAAGAUGAAAAGCACUUUGAAAAGAGAGUGAAACAGCACGUGAAAUUGUUGAAAGGGAAGGGCAUGCCGUCAGAUUGUCAGUGUGGGUAAGAAGCGGGGUACAAAGACUGUGGAACGUGGCCCUCGG